CGUAGGCACAAAUGACACUGCAAGAAAGGACUUUGCAACCAUCUGCAGUGACUUCGAAGACCUUGGCAAGAAAGUGAAGGAACUGGGAGCACAAGUAGUUUUCUCAUCUAUCCUUCCUGUGGAUGGUCAUGGAAAAAGAAGAUGGGACAGGAUUCUUGAGGUGAACAAUUGGCUACGUCAAUGGUGCUAUCGGCAAGGAUUUGGAUUUCUGAACCAUGGAGAAAACUACCUAUAUGAUGGACUCCUUGCGAGAGAUGGGCUGCACCUUACAAAGACAGGGAAGAAUGUAUUUGGCAAGCGCCUUGCUUCACUCAUCAGGAGAGCUUUAAACUAAAACAAAAGGGGAAGGGAAAUAAAAAGUCAAAGAAAAAUACUCAGUCAAUCAAUACAGGCGAUANUCUUGCUACCAGAAGUAGAAGUAAAGAACAAAAGCAAAAGGUUUGUAAGGAGAGUGGAGGAGUCAAGCUUGUAAGAGGUAUCAGUCACAAACUAAAAUGCUUCUACACCAAUGCACAGAGUAUGAGAAAUAAAAAAGGAGAACUGGAGAUCCUAACACAGGAAGAUAAAUAUGAUGUCAUAGGCAUUACGGAAACCUGGUGGGAUAACGCACAUGAAUGGAACACGGAUAUCGAAGGCUACAACUUAUUUUUGCGAAACAGACUUAACAAAAGAGGAGGGGGUAUUGCACUGUAUGUUAAAAAAGCAUUUGUCUCCUCAGAGAUUCAGGUUUCAGAGAAUGGAAGCCCGGUAGAAUCUGUCUGGGUAAGAAUUCAAGGAGAGAACAACAGAAAGGACACCAUUGUAGGAGUUUAUUACAGGCCCCCUGGACAAACAGAAGAUAUGGAUGCUCUCUUUCUAGAUCAGAUGGCUAAACUCUCAAGAAAGCAUGACAUAGUGCUUAUGGGAGAUUUUAACUAUCCAGACAUUUGUUGGGAAUCCCUCUCAGGCAAAAGUCACAAGUCUAAUAAGUUCUUAUCCUCUCUUGCUGACAACUUCAUCUACCAAAAGGUGGAGGAGAAAACAAGAGGACUGGCUAUCCUCGAUCUAAUUCUUACCAACAGAGAGGAAAUGGUUGAGGAAAUCAGAGUUUCUGGGACCUUAGGAGGCAGUGACCAUGCUAUCCUUAAAUUCUGGAUAAUAAGGGAAGGAAAGCCUGAGAGGACUCAGACUUCAAAGUUGGACUUCAGGCGGGCGGAUUUUGAUGGACUCAGAAGGAGGGUAGGAAGGAUAAAAUGGUUGAAUGUACUAAAGGAUAGAAAUGUCCAAGAAGGAUGGGAUACUUUGCGAAAUGCAAUACUAGAAGCACAGUCUUUAACAAUUCCUCAAAGAAAGAAGAACGGGAAGCAUCUAAAGAGACCAGGGUGGAUAAACCCAAAACUUAAAAACUUGCUAAAGAGGAAAAAAGAAAUGUUCAAGAAAUGGAAGGAGGGGUAUAUAUCUAAAGAAGAAUAUAAUGUAGUCUGCACAAACUGCAGGGCAAGUAUCAGAAAAGCUAAAGCUAGAAAUGAAUUGAGGCUUGCAAGAGAGACUAAAAACAAUAAAAAAGGGUUUUGGGGAUAUGUCAAAAGCAAAAGAAAAGUUAAAG
rnacentral:lncRNA from 1 species